rnacentral:lncRNA from 1 species
GGUUUUGUAGUCGUAGCUACAAUCAUGACGAUCGGAGUAUCGAUGUUCACCGCAAAACAACUCGCCGCACCGGCAUCGGAAUCCGGUCAAUCCUACCUUCCUUCGACAACCGGAGCAACGAUUCACCUCUCUCUUAGCCGGCGGUAAGCUUGCCUUCAGUUGAUCCUCCUCCUUUACCAUCAUCGUAUCUCCAACUUUCUUCAGAUCUUGACUCAUCCUGUCCAGAUCAGACUUCCUGUCCGGCGACGACCUCAACGAGCUGAAUCUCGCCGAUUUUUCAGAUCUGACCAAUUUUUCAGCGAAAUUGUGAGGAAUCGUCACCGACGUCCCCGUCGGCGAGCUGGAUGAAGUUGAGGUAGCCGCGGUGGUGGCGUUGAAGCACUUUUGACACAUAUUGUUUGUGGCUGGAUUUCCUGUAACUCCACAAUUGUUGAUGCAAAGCGUUAUCGUUUCAG